rnacentral:rRNA from 1 species
AGAGUUUGAUCAUGGCUCAGAACGAACGCUGGCGGCGUGCUUAACACAUGCAAGUCGAACGCGAACGUUUCCUUCGGGAAACUAGUAGAGUGGCGCACGGGUGAGUAACGCGUAAGUAAUCUACCCUCGCAUUUGGGAUAACCCACCGAAAGGUGUGCUAAUACCGGAUACGUCUACAAUUAUACUUUGUUUGUAGAGAAAGGUGGCCUCUGAUUUAAGCUACUGUGCGGGGAGGAGCUUGCGUACCAUUAGCUAGUUGGUAGGGUAAUGGCCUACCAAGGCAAUGAUGGUUAGCGGGUCUGAGAGGAUGAUCCGCCACACUGGAACUGGAACACGGACCAGACUCCUACGGGAGGCAGCAGUGAGGAAUAUUGCGCAAUGGGGGAAACCCUGACGCAGCGACGCCGCGUGGAUGAUGAAGGCCUUCGGGUUGUAAAAUCCUGUCAGAUGGGAAGAAAUGCACUAUGUCUAAUAUAUGUAGUGUUUGACGGUACCAUUAAAGGAAGCACCGGCUAACUCCGUGCCAGCAGCCGCGGUAAUACGGAGGGUGCAAGCGUUGUUCGGAAUUACUGGGCGUAAAGCGCGCGUAGGCGGCUAUAUAAGUCAGGUGUGAAAGUCCACGGCUCAACCGUGGAAGUGCAUUUGAAACUGUGUAGCUUGAGUACUGGAGGGGGUAGUGGAAUUCCCGGUGUAGAGGUG